AUGCAGUCACGUGUCCUUGUUAUGCAGUCAAGUGUCCUUGUUAUGCAGUCAAGUGUCCUUGUUAUGCAGUCACGUGUCCUUGUUAUGCAGUCAAGUGUCCUUGUUAUGCAGUCAAGUGUCCUUGUUAUGCAGUCAAGUGUCCUUGUUAUGCAGUCAAGUGUCCUUGUUAUGCAGUCAAGUGUCCUUGGUAUGCAGUCACAUGUCCUUGGUAUGCAGUCACAUGUCCUUGGUAUGCAGUCACGUGUCCUUGGUAUGCAGUCACGUGUCCUUGGUAUGCAGUCAAGUGUCCUUGGUAUGCAGUCACGUGUCCUUGGUAUGCAGUCAAGUGUCCUUGUUAUGCUAUUUGAAACCGUAGGGUUGUGUGAGGAGAGAAGAGGUGUGGCUAACUACUCCUAUGACACUGGUUUACUAAGCAUGGGUAUGUCCAGGGAGAUGUGGGGCUACAUCCAAAUGGGACACACACACACAUGUUAGCCUCUGGGAUGAAUGAAUGGACAGCUUGACUUGUGUGAUGAUCAUAUUAUGGAUGUUAUGGGGUGAAAUGCCACUGAUGACUUUGGUGUAAUUAAGUAUCAUCAUAAUACUUAGCACCCGUGUGGACUUCAUGAAGCAAUUCAAUAAAAUGGCGGUUGGGUUUGCUUUCGUACGUCAACUACGAAAUAAUAAUCUCAGGUUAUAGGUCAUUUCAGAAUCAGAUUACUUGUAUGCAUUGAGGUUUUGGAGAUUAUUCCAGCAUAUCUAUCAUAUUUUAUGUAGGUUGAUUGUUGAUGCUCACUAAAUGGUUUCUCAGAGGUAUCUGAUAGACUGUUCAUUGUGACUAGAGGGGAAGCAGGGCAAUACUGCAGAUCUGUAACCACUCAGGAUUGGCAGUUGUGUAUUACUGAGCCCAUCCAUGUGACAUAUAGCUCUAGUGACAGGAGAACGGAUGCUGAGUCUCGGUGUGAGAGUCACAUGGGUUGGGAACAGAAAAACUAACAUCUGAAAACACCCACACCUCUAAAACUAGACUGUGGUUAUGGGCCUAAAAUAUUCAGACUUCAGAAAACUCAGUUCGAGAUUUACACUUUUUAAUGGGCGCCAUGUUGACACGAAAAGUUCCAAGACAGUUGCAUUCUAGAAUGCAAAUUGGAAUGUCAUUUGUAUGGAAUAUUUGGUGCCAAAAUGGUGUAUAGUCAGACAGACCUCUGGAAUCUUAAGGCUCUGAGAGUCUGAGUACAAGGCCAAAGAGAGGCAGACUGUGUGGUGAUGAUUUGGGUUGGUGUGUGUGUGUAUGUGUAGUUUGUGGGACAUGUGUGGCUUAUGUGUGUAGCGUGUGUUUGUAGCAUGUGUGAGUUCUUCUCAGCAUGUUGUGGCCAGGGACUGGUGUAUAGGUGGCUGGAAGCAGCGGACAUGCUCCACGGUGGAACUAUCGGUCUCCACAGCCUUCAUGUACUUGUUGAGGAUGGCAAAGAUCUCAUUGUUCAGGAUCUGGUACUUCCUGAUGCGGUCAGCCAUCUUCUUCAGUGGCUGUAGAUAGAUAGAGAGAUUGAAAGAUGGGGUUUGAAUCCAAUGAUAAACUUAAAACCACAGACCAGGAUUGUAGUAGCCAAGGACUUGCCACCAUAAAGAUGGUGAGCUUCCUCUUCUCAUAUAGUUGAUCCAUUCUGUCAUCUUACUUCUGUGUUAGCAUGCUGGUUAAAACAAAGUAGAUGUGUGCAUGGCGUCAGUGGGUACCCACCACAUUCUUGAUGAUCUCAUCCUUGCUGUCCUGCCUCUGCACCUUGAGCAGGUGGUAGCAGAAGUCAAACAGGUCGAAGCGGCGCUGCUGACCCAACAGCACGAUGAUGGAACAGCCUGCCCAGUUCAGCCCAUCACCAAAACACUGCCUGCAGAGGAUACAUACAGGAACUUAAUAAGUACUUUAUAUUUGUAGAAAACUCUUCACAAAUCAAGCUCAGUUGAUUGGAUGGUGAUUGCUUUAUCUACUAAUGUGCAUGUGCACUAAACAGCCCUGAGAGGACUACAGUAACACACUCCUUACUGUGUGAGUACGCUGCCAUGCCCCCUACAGUAACUCACUCCCUACUGUGUGAGUACGCUGCCNNNNNNNNNNCUCGAACAUGGACAGGCCACAGCAAAGACGCUCCUUGGUCAACAGAUCCCCCUCACGGGCUAUAGCUAUUUGCUGAAAAAGAGGAGGAAAGGAAACAUGAGGAGAGGAAGGAAGGAGAACAGGGAGUAAGGUGGAGCAGAUAAAAUAGGGAAAGUUGAAUUGUUUUGGAACUUUGGUGCCAAUAUGGCUGCCCUUACAAAUUUCUACAUUUCAAACCAAGAUUGUGGAAACUGUCUGUGGGUCAGGACAGAGAGCCAGGUGAUGAGGUGUGGAUGGUG
rnacentral:lncRNA from 13 species